rnacentral:rRNA from 1 species
UACGGAGGGUGCAAGCGUUGUCCGGAUUUAUUGGGUUUAAAGGGUGCGUAGGCGGCCUUGUAAGUCAGUGGUGAAAUCCAGCAGCUUAACUGUUGAAGGGCCAUUGAUACUGCAGGGCUUGAGUGCUGAUGAGGUAGGCGGAAUUGACGGUGUAGCGGUGAAAUGCAUAGAUAUCGCCAAGAACCCCGAUUGCGAAGGCAGCUUACUGGGCAGUAACUGACGCUGAGGCACGAAAGCGUGGGGAUCAAACAGG